UAUGUGGCCAUACCACCCUGAACACGCCCGAUCUCCUCUGAUCUCUGAAGCUAAGCAGGGUCCGGCCUGGUUAGUACUUGGAUGGGAGAAAUCAAAAUGUUUUCAGAG
ensembl:rRNA 5S_rRNA 5S ribosomal RNA